rnacentral:tRNA from 1 species
GGGAUUGUGGCUCAGUGGCAGAGCACUUAUCUGGCAUAUGUGAGGCACUGAGUUCAAUCCUCAGCACCA